AUUAGGGACUAGGGUGGGGAUGAUGAAGGCAGGGGCUGCUCCUGUAGCUGAGAUCUGGGGUUGACCUUUGGAGUCAGUGUGGGGAGGUCAGAGAGGAGGAUUGCAACUUCUCAGAGAUUUAUAGCCAGCUUGUGACAUAGCAUGGAUUGGUGGUCUGCUCUGCUAUUACAGAACCAUGGGAUUAAAAGAUUCAUAUUGGAAGUGCAGUGUGAGUGGAAGGAAGACCUUCAUCCUGGAGGAUGCUCUGCUUGGCCUGGAUGCUGCCCAGCAGAGGCCCCAGCAAGACUGUUUUCAGCAGGAAUUCCCCAGGUUUGAUGACAUCAUUCUGCUCGCUGUCCCAG
ensembl:processed_transcript Hectd2, opposite strand